rnacentral:rRNA from 1 species
UACGAAGGGGGCUAGCGUUGUUCGGAUUUACUGGGCGUAAAGCGCACGCAGGCGGAUUGUUAAGUGAGGGGUGAAAUCCCAGGGCUCAACCCUGGAACUGCCUUUCAUACUGGCAAUCUCGAGUCCGGAAGAGGUGAGUGGAACUCCUAGUGUAGAGGUGGAAUUCGUAGAUAUUAGGAAGAACACCAGUGGCGAAGGCGGCUCACUGGUCCGGUACUGACGCUGAGGUGCGAAAGCGUGGGGAGCAAACAGG